rnacentral:rRNA from 1 species
GGGGACAAUACCGGAUGAUGCAGCGGAACCGCAUGGUUAUGUUGUUAAAUCAGGAAUGGCCUGUAGAUAAGUCUAUAUUCCAUCAGGUAGUUGGCGGGGUAACUGCCCACCAAGCCUACGACGGAUAGCUGGUCUGAGAGGAUGAUCAGCCACAUUGGAACUGAGACACGGUCCAGACUCCUACGGGAGGCAGCAGUGAGGAAUAUUGCGCAAUGGGCGAAAGCCUGACGCAGCAACGCCGCGUGGAUGAUGAAGUUCUUCGGAAUGUAAAGUCCUUUUGUAGAGGAAGAACAUGCUGGUUUACCGGCAGUGACGGUACUCUGCGAAUAAGCCACGGCUAACUCUGUGCCAGCAGCCGCGGUGAUA